CUACGGAGGGGGUUAGCGUUGUUCGGAAUUACUGGGCGUAAAGCGCACGUAGGCGGAUUGGAAAGUUGGGGGUGUAAUCCCAGGGCUCAACCCUGGAACUGCCUCCAAAACUAACAGUCUAGAGUUCGAGAGAGGUGAGUGGAAUUCCAAGUGUAGAGGUGAAAUUCGUAGAUAUUUGGAGGAACACCAGUGGCGAAGGCGGCUCACUGGCUCGAUACUGACGCUGAGGUGCGAAAGCGUGGGGAGCAAACAGGAUUAGAAACCCCAGUAGUCC
rnacentral:rRNA from 1 species